rnacentral:misc_RNA from 1 species
CAAAAUCUUCAUCAUAAUUAAAAUAUCAAAAAGAGUCAUCAAAUCUCUAGUUGUCUUCAACAAAUGCAUCAAAAUUCAUCACAACUCUUUUCCUCAAAUUUCAGGAUCUAAGAUUUCAAUGUCAAGAAAUGAUUUGGCUAACAUAACAGAUAAAACUACCACACAGAAAAAAAGGAAAACUGCAAGAAAAAGGAAAAGAGAGAUGCUAACUGGAUUUUCAAUCAUGUAUACAGCAACCUAAUGACCAGUUGACCACAUUACAAAGAAAAAGAAUCAAGAAUACAUAUAUGCAAGUUUCCCGAAAUUCAAUUGCCAUCUAAAAGCAAUAUAACUACAAAUGUACAUGAAAAGAAAGUUAGCAAGAUUGAAGAAGUUAAUAUAGAAAUGUAAAGGAUAAAGGCACAGAACCUCUAGAAUUGGCAACAAAACAACACAAGAAGAAGAAGAAACACUUUUGGUUUUAUUUAAGAACAAUUUCAAAUAAUUUUAGGAACCCAGAAAGACAAGCACGUGAAAUCAAGAAACAAAAAGGCUGCUACGUGUAGAAUCUAGAAAUGGAGAGAAAAGAAGGGC